rnacentral:piRNA from 3 species
UGCCGCCUUGCUGGGGACUUGAGCCUCUCAGC